rnacentral:SRP_RNA from 1 species
CGGCGCGGGCGGCAUCACGCCUCCCGAUAAAUUGACUCUUGUAAAACGCACCGAAUCAGAUAUGCUAUCAAUCUAUUUUGCCGACGUCGGCACACUCGCUGCCGACGUUCCAUCCAACACCGUCGGCAAGCGCAGAGGGCCCCCGGAUUUUCAAUGCCGGUCGCCACGUAACAGCCGGUCACGAACCUCGUCAGAUCCGGAAGGAAGCAGCGAUAAGUGACGCAGGCCGUGUCGUGGUCCGUUCCGGCGGAGCAAUCUCCGGGGGCCCUUUUCGCUUGCCCAAGGUGCACCG